rnacentral:rRNA from 1 species
CCAGGUGUAGCGGUGAAAUGCGUAGAGAUCUGGAGGAAUACCGGUGGCGAAGGCGGCCCCCUGGCCAAAGACUGACGCUCAGGUGCGAAAGCGUGGGGAGCAACCAGGAUUAGAUACCCUGGUAGUCCACGCCGUAAACGAUGUCGACUUGGAGGUUGUGCCCUUGAGGCGUGGCUUCCGGAGCUAACGCGUUAAGUCGACCGCCUGGGGAGUACGGCCGCAAGGUUAAAACUCAAAUGAAUUGACGGGGGCCCGCACAAGCGGUGGAGCAUGUGGUUUAAUUCGAUGCAACGCGAAGAACCUUACCUACUCUUGACAUCCAGAGAACUUUCCAGAGAUGGAUUGGUGCCUUCGGGAACUCUGAGACAGGUGCUGCAUGGCUGUCGUCAGCUCGUGUUGUGAAAUGUUGGGUUAAGUCCCGCAACGAGCGCAACCCUUAUCCUUUGUUGCCAGCGGUUAGGCCGGGAACUCAAAGGAGACUGCCAGUGAUAAACUGGAGGAAGGUGGGGAUGACGUCAAGUCAUCAUGGCCCUUACGAGUAGGGCUACACACGUGCUACAAUGGCGCAUACAAAGAGAAGCGACCUCGCGAGAGCAAGCGGACCUCAUAAAGUGCGUCGUAGUCCGGAUUGGAGUCUGCAACUCGACUCCAUGAAGUCGGAAUCGCUAGUAAUCGUAGAUCAGAAUGCUACGGUGAAUACGUUCCCGGGCCUUGUACACACCGCCCGUCACACCAUGGGAGUGGGUUGCAAAAGAAGUAGGUAGCUUAACC